CCCAUAUCUUGACUUUUUUAUUUAUUAUGUCUGUUUUGUUCACGCAUCGUUGUAAAUAUACCGAGAUUUGAUGACACUGUUGUACAAAGCGCUAUUAAACCAGGUUCAAUUCACCAUUUUCUACACUUGAAAAUGCCUGUACCAAGUCAGAAAUAUGACAGUUGUUGUCCAUUUGUUCUUGCUGUGUUUUGUCAUUUGAUUUAGCCAUGUGAUUAGGGACAUUCAGAUUGAAGAUUCGUCGGAGUUUAGUAUUUUUGUGAUUUUACUUUUUAGUAUAUUUUUAUAUUUUCCAUUUUCAAUUGGGC
rnacentral:lncRNA from 1 species